AUUUGCUUACCAAAUGCAGCUAACAUUGUAGUUCUGUCCUUUGGAAACUGUGCAGCCCUCACCUUUCAUCUUUCCUGCAUCUUCUCCCUCAUGCUGCUUGCCCUAACAAACACAGCCAGAGCCAUCUGACAAAGUCCUCUGCUCCUCGUAGGUGUUCAGCUUGCUAAGGGAGCUGGGCUCUUCUCAGAAGAGAAGUACAGUUCUGUACCUGCUCUCACUAGGCACUUUUCUGUGCUGAUGAAUUUGUCUUCAGUGCCUGGUACUUCUCCCCUAGGAACACUUUGUUUUUAUUCACAACUGGAAAUGUGCAGUGGUGCUCCCUUGUAGCUACUUGCAGCACUGGUCUCUCUGGGAACAGAAAUCUAGAGGGUACCCAGAAAGAAUGUACAGGGUAGUUUAAAUAAGGCCUGCAGGCCACUUGCUGAAUGCUGUGGAUAAAAAGAAGUCUUCACUGAACAAGGUAGAUACCC